rnacentral:tRNA from 1 species
GAGGAGGUGGUUGAGAGGUUUAAAACAACGAUUUGCUAAAUUGUCACAUUAAGUUUAUUUUAAUGUCAUGGGUUCGAAUCCCAUUCUCCUUA